UGCCCUUCAUUCAAGUCCGUGAAGAGUCUGGGGCCCUUUGCCUUGCCCACUCUCCAGGGCUCAGUUUGUUCUGUGCAACAUAAAGAGGGGUGUUCCCUUCCCAUGCGGCUGUGAGCAGACACCGCUCACCACCCCGCCACGCCACUCUUUCCUCUCUUGUAUCUUCCUCACUCCUUCCCCAAACUGACCCUAUGAUUCACGUUGGGAAUCAUCCAGAGACGACUUCAGAGCUCAACCCCUGACAGAAGCUCACAAUGAAGUGAAGGAAAUGAGGUGAAAUAUAGAGGAGAUACAGCUUUAUUGUGGACAAACUGAGUUGGCAGAAGUCUGCAACAACAACAGAAUGUUUAGCCCAUCUAUUUACAAUAUAAGGGUUGAGGUUUCCCAUACACAGCUGGACCUCCCUCCCUCAGCGUCAGAUGUAUUUAUCCCCCUCAACAACAAUCAUUUCCUUCCUCUGGCCCUAGGCCUGCCAUUGGCCACAAAGUAAACACACCCCAUCAUGUAAUUCCUGGGCACUAUCUCCUAAUCCCUCAGGCUCCCUUCCCAGCCUACGGCUCCUGCAGAGCACUCCGGGGGCCCGCCUGCUCAGUGGAGGGGGCUUCAGUAGGGUUGUAGGGGGCACCUUGGGCACUAACUCUUCCCCCAAACCCAUAACCCCAGUCUAAUUGUGAGAAAAUACCAGAGAAACCCAAACCGAAGAAUAUUCUGCAAAAUACUUGACCAUUACUCUCUAAAACAAAGUCAUGAAAAACAAGGAAAGACUGAGAAACUGUCAUAGAUCAGAGGAGACUAAGGAGAUGAUGACUACAUUCAAUAUAGUAUCCUGGAUGGGAUUC
rnacentral:lncRNA from 1 species